GAGUUGAGGAAUAUACGAGAUUCUGAUAUUUUUGUAAAUUUUUUGCCUAAUUUUUGCCAUUUGCAUUUGUUCCCUACAAUUCAGAGUUUGAUGAAUAAACCAGAUACUCUGUACAUUCACUCUGCAUUCACACACUCACUAACAUCAGACAAAUACAUCCCAGACACCAACACUGGGUCUUAUAAAAUCUGAAUUAUAUUAUGUGUACACAUGUCAGAAUUCUUCAUUCUCGACCAUUCUAUUCAUAUUCCUUAUCCAACUC